UCGCAGGCUGUUCAGCGAGGCCGGGCCUGUCAUGACCCUGACCUUUCCUUUAGUGUCUGCGAGAGCAAACCUGGGGUGGUUUGAGGCCCUGCUGUGUCUCCUCCAUGGCAAGGUUAUAGAAACCCCGUACAACC